rnacentral:rRNA from 1 species
ACUCCUACGGGAGGCAGCAGUGGGGAAUAUUGCACAAUGGGGGAAACCCUGAUGCAGCCAUGCCGCGUGUGUGAAGAAGGCCUUCGGGUUGUAAAGCACUUUCAGUAGGGAGGAAGGUAGUGUAGUUAACACCUGCAUUAUUUGACGUUACCUACAGAAGAAGCACCGGCUAACUCCGUGCCAGCAGCCGCGGUAAUACGGAGGGUGCGAGCGUUAAUCGGAAUUACUGGGCGUAAAGCGCAUGCAGGCGGCCUGUUAAGUCAGAUGUGAAAGCCCGGGGCUUAACCUCGGAAUUGCAUUUGAAACUGGCAGGCUAGAGUCUUGUAGAGGGGGGUAGAAUUUCAGGUGUAGCGGUGAAAUGCGUAGAGAUCUGAAGGAAUACCAGUGGCGAAGGCGGACCCCCUGGACAAAGACUGACGCUCAGAUGCG